CGCAUAUUGCGCCCGCUAGUAUUCUGGCAGGCAUGCCUGUUCGAGCGUCAUUUCAACCCUCAAGCCCUGCUUGGUGUUGGGGCACUGCGCCGCGCGCAGGCCCUGAAAUGCAGUGGCGGAUCUGCUGUAAUCCCGAACGUAGUAGCACAUCUCGUUUAGGGUGUUAUAGUGGAUACUGCCGUUAAACAGCCCAUUUAUACUGGUUGACCUCGGAUCAGGUAGGAAUACCCGCUGAACUUAA
rnacentral:misc_RNA from 1 species